rnacentral:lncRNA from 1 species
CUAUGCAACUCAACAGUAGCCAUAUACAACAGUUUUUUUUUUUUUUCUUUUUAACAACAAAAUUCUCCAAUUUUUAGGAUUCUCACCAUAAUUAAAUAACGCAUAAAAGUAAGAAUAAAACGUAACUAUAUAACCAUUUUCAUAAUUAUAAUUUAUUGAUCUCCAUAACACUAAAUAAAAAAAAGGAAAAAUCAAUUCAGAAUACACCAACUCAAUCACAUAAUCUAUGCAGCAUGAGCAACACAAGCUUAAUGGAUUAAUCAUAUUAUAUUAUGGCAUUCCUUUCAUACAUCCCUUCAUGAUGGGAGGAAAAUGUACAACAUCAAGAUGCCUCAUUAUAUUCUACAUACAAAGAAAAAAGUAAGAGCCAUAAAUAAAGCUCUUGCAAAAAAACAAAGAAAAAAAAAAAGAAGAAGACCCUGUAGGCCCUCAAAAAACCUUAGAAACGUGUUUUAAAAGAGUUGGUAAAAAUUACAAAAUCCAUCCAUUAAUUUUCACUUAAUGCACAAAAAGAAAUCACUGAAUUAUUUUUUAUUCUAAUUUGACUCAUAAAACUUGAUUUUGUAUAUUACUAGCUAUCAAAUAUUACUAAUUACUCAACCAAAUCCACUACUGAGAUGAUUUUUAAUUACAAUACCAAACCUAGGUACUUGUACCAGAUCAAACUGUUAAGUGAUGUAAAAUAUCCAUUAUUCUUCAAAAAUUUAAACUUUUGAAGAAAAAACGAUUGUCUCAUUUAAUUUAUCGUGAACAAAUCUCAUUAAAAAAACAUUUUUUUUUUUGACGAUGCUCAGCGUUAUCAUAUAAACAUUCCAUUAUAUAUUAAAUCAAUUUAUUGAAUGAUAAAGUGCAGUACUAUUAUUUUUUCGCAAACUAUUUUGACGUCGUUAAAGAUUAUUUAUCUUAUAGUGGAUUCAUUAAUUACAGUGCUAAAUAUAUAAUAAGCAAAUUAUUUUUAACUUGGUAUGUAAGAUUUUUUUUUUUGUUUUUGUUUUUUUACGUGCAUGAAAUGGAAAUCAGUGGAUGUAAAAUUCAUGAUCUCAAGCAGAAAAAAAAAAAAAAAAAA